UACGUAGGGGGCUAGCGUUGUCCGGAAUCAUUGGGCGUAAAGCGCGCGUAGGCGGCCCGGUAAGUCCGCUGUGAAAGUCAAAGGCUCAACCUGUGAAUGUCAGCGGAUACUGCCGGGCUAGAGUCCGGAAGAGGCGAGUGGAACUCCUGGUGUAGCGGUGGAAUGCGCAGAUAUCAGGAAGAACACCGACGGCGAAGGCAGCUCGCUGGGACGGUACUGACGCUGAGGCGCGAAAGCGUGGGGAGCGAACAGG
rnacentral:rRNA from 1 species